ACCCCGAGCUCGAGGACGCGGUUAUCCGAUAAAACGACCUACUUGUCAUAUAACCAUUGUGGUGAAAGAUAUAUCCAUACCGGAAGAAUACGACUAUAAUUAUCUAAAUUAAAUAUAAUUAAUAAAAAAUAUAUCUUAAUGGUAAAAAAAUAAAGAAUGUAUAUAAAUAAAUACACGAAUAUGUCGUAUCCAGAUAUGUAUAGUAGUGAGGGAGCAUGGGACAAAAAAUAAAUCCACUUGGUUUCAGACUUGGUACAACCCAAAGUCAUCAUUCCGUUUGGUUUACACAAGCAAAAAACUAUUCUGAGGGUUUACAGGAAGAUAAAAAAAUACGAGAUUUUAUCAAAAAUUAUGUACAAAAAAAUCUGAGACUAGCUUCUGGUGUCGAGGGAAUUGCACAUAUAGAGAUUCAAAAAAGAAUCGAUCUGAUUCAAAUCAUAAUCUAUAUGGGAUUCCCGAAGUUAUUAAUAGAAGGUAAAUCACGCAGACUCGAAGAAUUACAGAUGAAUGUACAAAAAGAAUUAAAUUGUGUAAACCGUAAACUUAACAUUUCUAUUACAAGAAUUGCAAAACCUUAUGGAAACCCUACCAUUCUUGCAGAAUUUAUAGCUGGACAAUUAAAAAAUAGAGUUUCAUUUCGUAAGGCGAUGAAAAAAGCUAUUGAAUUGACUGAACAGGCAGAUACAAAAGGAAUUCAAAUACAAAUUGCAGGUCGUAUUGACGGAAAAGAAAUUGCACGUGUUGAAUGGAUUCGAGAAGGUAGGGUUCCCCUACAAACAAUUCGAGCAAAAAUUGAUUAUUGUUCCUAUCCAGUUCGAACUAUCUAUGGGGUAUUAGGGAUCAAAAUUUGGAUAUUUGUAGACAAAGCACAAUAAACCUUCAUUUUCGUUUCUGUUCUAUCUAAUGAUUGAAGAAAAAACUAUUUCAUUCUUUAUCUAAUCAAGUCAAACAAAAAAUAAAACUUCGACAAUUCUAUAGGGUUGAAUAAAAAGUAGAUUAAUAAUUUGAUAUAAUUGCUAUGCUUAGUGUGUGACUCGUUAAUUUUUUGAAGGUUAUAAAAAAAAAAGACUGAUUCAUAGUAUCAACUAAGAACUAUCGAACUAAUAACCAACCCAUCGCUUCGCAUUAUCUGGAUCAAAAGAAACAAUUACGAUAGGAUCUAUUGGUCAUAUCAUUGUAGCAACUGAACUCUUUUUUGCAUAAUACAGAAAACCAAAUUGGAUUAUGAGUUUGAAUUGUAAAGCGCAAUUUACUAAGGAUAUGGAUAAGUGGAAUGGUGAGAGAAAGAGAGAGAAAAUAGCAAUGAUAUAUGAUUCCAAUCUAAUAUGUAAGGUCUCUAAAUAAUCGCAGAAAAAACAAUGUAUCUAAUAAAGCAUCAAUAUUGAGAUUCAUCCCUAAUUUGUUGAUAGAACAACAAAAAGAGCUUCGAGCCAAGAAAGAUUAAGAGGAUUGACUCAAGAACAAAAUCCACGAAAAGCUCCAUUGUCAAAUUCAGACCUAACCAUUAAUAGAGAAGCGAUGGGAACGAUGGAACCCAUGAAUGCAGAAGAUUCUCUUGAACAUGAAUCCUAAUGAUUCAUUGGGUGGGAUGGCGGAACGAACCAGGAACCUUUUCAUUGAUUCUAAAAAGUCAUAGGCUAACCCAACAACUGAACUAGAUAUUGAAAGAGUAAAUAUUCGCCCGCGAAAAUUUGAUUUUAUUGGAUUGUUCAAUUUUACGCGAUCCGAUAUGAACGGAAAGUCAAAAUUCGUUAAAAAAAAGCUGAUCCAUAAAAAUACGAAGUAUCUAUAACUAGAAAUAUAAAUAUAUAUAUUUAGUUUAUUUAGUUAUAUAUCAAAAAAAAGUUUAUUUAGUUAUAUAUCAAAAAAAGUCUAGAAGAAUUUGAAAUAAACUAGAUAAAAUUUGAAAGAAUCCAGGGAUUCAAUGUAUUAUUCAUUACUUACAUAUAUGGAUAUAUUAAUUAACGAUUUAUCACUCUUUUCUUUUGAUUCGCGAGGAGCUGGAUGAGAUGAAACUCUCAUGUCCAGUUCUGGAGUAGAGAUGGAAUUGCGAAACAACCAUCAACUAUAACCCCAAAAGAACCAGAUUUCGUAAACAACAUCGAGGAAGACUGAAGGGAAUAUCUUAUAGAGGUAAUAGUGUUUGUUUCGGUAGAUACGCCCUUCAGGCACUUGAACCUACUUGGAUCACAUCUAGACAAAUAGAAGCGGGGAGACGAGCAAUGACCCGAAAUGUACGUCGUGGUGGAAAAAUAUGGGUCCGUAUAUUUCCAGAUAAACCAGUUACAGUAAGACCCGCAGAAACACGUAUGGGGUCAGGUAAAGGAUCCCCCGAAUAUUGGGUAGCUGUCGUUAAACCGGGUAGGAUACUUUAUGAAAUAGGGGGAGUAGCAGAAAAUGUAGCCAGAAAAGCUAUUCAAAUAGCAGCAUCCAAAAUGCCUAUACAAACUCAAUUUAUUCUUUCGGAAUAGAAAUGUAAAAUGAAAGGCAAGAAGUCUUUCCUUUGGACUAACAAAAAACAAUUGCAGGUUUCUUUUUUGGACAAAGAAUAUUUCUUUUUUUUUCUGCGCCCCUUUUGCAUUUUAAAAAUAGAUUAAAAAAUGAUAUGAUCCAACCCCAGACCCUUUUGAAUGUAGCGGACAACAGCGGGGCGCGAAAAUUGAUGUGUAUUCGAAUCAUAGGAGCUAGUAAUCGCCGAUAUGCUCAUAUUGGUGACAUUAUUGUUGCUGUGAUCAAAGAAGCAGUACCAAAUAUGCCUUUAGAAAGAUCCGAAGUGAUCAGAGCUGUAAUUGUACGUACUUGUAAAGAACUGAAACGCGAUAACGGUAUGAUAAUACGAUAUGAUGACAAUGCUGCAGUUGUCAUUGAUCAAGAAGGAAAUCCUAAAGGAACGAGAAUUUUUGGUGCGAUUGCACGAGAAUUGAGACAGUUAAAUUUUACUAAAAUAGUUUCAUUAGCCCCCGAGGUAUUAUAAAACGAAAUUGUUAUUAUAGUUAGAGUCAAAUUUACUUGAAUGAAAUCGAUUAAUUAUUAGUAGAUUAUGUCUCACGUAUAUACCUUUAAUAAUUACGUAUAUACCUUUAAUAAUUUAAAAAGAGCAUGUUUAUUAUAUCCAAAUUUUGAGAAACCACCAAUUUUAGUUCAUCAUGGGUAGAGACACUAUUGCUGAGAUAAUAACUUCUAUACGAAAUGCUGACAUGAAUAGAAAAGGAACAGUUCGAAUAGCAUGGACUAACAUCACGGAAAACAUUGUUAAAAUACUUUUACGAGAAGGUUUUAUCCAAAAUGUGAGAAAACAUCGGGAAAACCAACAAUACUUUUUGGUUUUAACCCUGCAACAUAGAAGAAAUAGUAAAGGACCAUAUGGAACUGUUUUAAAUUUAAAAAGGAUAAGUCGACCCGGUCUACGAAUAUAUUCUAACUACCAACGCAUUCCUAAAAUUUUAGGUGGGAUGGGAAUUGUAAUCCUUUCUACUUCUCAAGGUAUAAUGACAGACCGAGAGGCUCGAUUAGAAAGAAUCGGCGGAGAAAUUUUGUGUUAUAUAUGGUAAUCCUUCUAAUAUCCGAAUUAGAUUCGAAACUUCUUAUUUUGGAAAAAAAAAAGCGAAAGGACGGGUUGUCUAAUAUCACUCUUCCUCCAUUAGUUGAUACACCAAGGAGGUUUUACCUCAAAUGAAAGAACAAAAGUGGGUUCAUGAAGGUUUAAUUACUGAAUCACUUCCCAAUGGUAUGUUCCGGGUCCGUUUAGAUAAUGACGACCUAAUUCUAGGUUAUGUUUCAGGAAGAAUCCGGCGUAGUUUUAUACGGAUCCUACCAGGAGAUAGAGUCAAAAUUGAAGUAAGUCGUUAUGAUUCAACUAGAGGACGCAUAAUUUAUAGAAUUCGCAAUAAGGAUUCGAAGGAUUCGAUCGAUUAGAUGGUUUUUUAUUUUACCCUUCAACAUUAUUUUCAGGAGGAUACAAUUCCAGAUUCCACAUUUCAGGAAACUUAGUUUCUUCCAAGAAUCAAUUCAUAAUUAAGGUAAGGAAUGAAAAAUAUGAAAAUAAGAGCCUCUGUUCGUAAAAUUUGUGAAAACUGUCGACUGAUCCGCAGACGCGGCCGAAUUAUAGUAAUUUGUUCCAACCCGAGACAUAAGCAAAGACAAGGCUAAUCUUUGGAAAAGAACUCUCUAAAGAACCCUAAGGACAAAUAAAAAUAAAGGAUUCGUUUUGACAUGAAAUGGAUAUAUCCAUAUACCUCGGACUCAUAUUUAUGAGAUGAUAAAAUAUGGCAAAACCUAUACCAAAAAUUGGUUCACGCAAAACCGGGCGUCUUAGCUCACGUAAAAGUGGACGCAGAAUUCCAAAAGGAGUUAUUCAUGUUCAAGCAAGUUUCAACAAUACCAUUGUGACUGUUACAGAUGUAAGGGGUCGGGUAGUUUCUUGGUCCUCGGCCGGUACUUGUGGAUUCAGGGGUACAAGAAGAGGAACACCGUUUGCUGCUCAAACCGCAGCAGGAAAUGCUAUGCGUACAGCAGUGGAUCAAGGUAUGCAACGAGCAGAAGUUAUGAUAAAAGGUCCCGGUCUUGGAAGAGAUGCAGCAUUACGAGCUAUUCGUAGAAGCGGUAUACUAUUAAGUUUCGUACGAGAUGUAACCCCGAUGCCACAUAAUGGCUGUAGACCUCCGAAAAAAAGGCGUGUGUAGAACUAAACACGGAAGAUAUUUCAAGAGAAAUAAAUGAUUCAAUGAUCUGAUCAAAUAAUAUUACUAUGGUUCGAGAGAAAGUCACAGUAUCUACUCGGACACUACAAUGGAAGUGUGUUGAAUCAAGAGCAGAUAGUAAGCGUCUUUAUUAUGGACGUUUUAUUCUGUCUCCGCUUAGUAAGGGCCAAGCCGAUACAAUAGGUAUUGCAAUGCGAAGAGCUUUGCUUGGCGAAAUAGAAGGAACAUGUAUCACACGUGCAAAAUCUGAGAAAAUACCACAUGAAUACUCUACCCUAAUAGGGAUUCAAGAAGCAGUACAUGAAAUUUUAAUGAAUUUGAAAGAAGUUGUAUUGAGAAGUAAUCUAUAUGGAAUUCGCAACGCGUCUAUUUGUGUCCGGGGUCCUGGAUCUGUAACUGCUCAAGACAUCAUCUUACCACCUUCUGUGGAAAUUGUUGAUAAUACACAGCAUAUAGUGACCUUGACGGAACCAAUCGAUUUGUGUAUUGGAUUACAAAUUGAAAGGAAUCGAGGAUACUGUAUAAAAACCCCAAAUAACUUUGAAGAUGGAAGUUAUCCUAUAGAUGCUGUAUUUAUGCCUGUUCGAAAUGCGAAUCAUAGUAUUCAUUCUUAUGGGAAUGAGAAGGAAAAACAAGAAAUACUUUUUCUAGAAAUCUGGACAAACGGAAGUUUAACUCCUAAAGAAGCACUUCAUGAGGCCUCCCGGAAUUUGAUUGAUUUUUUUAUUCCUUUUAUACAUUCGGAAGAAGCAAACUUACAUUUAGAAGACAAUCAACACAAGGUUACUUUACCCCUUUUUACUUUUCAUAAAAAAUGGACUAAACUAAGCAAAAACAAAAAAGUAUUAAAUUCUAUUUUUAUUGACCAAUCAGAAUUGUCUCCCAAGAUCUAUAUUUGCCUCAAAAGGUCUAAUAUACAUACAUUGUUGGACCUUUUGAAUAAGAGUCAAGAGGAUCUUAUGAAAACGGAACAUUUUCACAUAGAAGAUGUAAAGCAGAUAUUGGACGUUCUAGAAAACUAUUUCACAAUGGAUUUAUCGAAAAAUAAGUUUUCAAUACAUUAGGUUUAUUUCAUUUUUUAUUUAUAAAAAACGAUGAAAAGCUAUUUUUCAUCUUUAACAGAAAGAAAAUCUAUAGCCUCAGAAUAGAUGUAUCUAGGGAGAAUUCACUUUGAAGUGAUUAUUCCCUAGAUACAAAAAUGAUGAUAUUUUAUUUCACAAUUGAAUCAAUUUAAAAAAGACCUAAAGUUAGGGAUUUAUCAAUAGGUAACGUUGCUCCAAUACCCAACCAAAGGGCCGCUACAGUACCAAGCAAAAAGACAGUUGUUGCUACGGGACGACGAAAUGGGUUUUGAAAUUUAUUAAUAUUCUCCAAAAAGGGUACUGUUAAUAAUCCCGUAGGUACUGAAACCAUUAAAAGAACACCUAAUAACUUAUUGGGUACUGUACGAAGUAUUUGAAAUACCGGAAAGAAAUACCAUUCAGGUAAUAUUUCUAAAGGAGUUGCAAAUGGAUCGGCGGGUUCACCAAUCAUUGAUGGUUCUAAAACCGCUAAUCCUACGUUACACGCAAUAGUACCUAAAAUGACUACUGGAAAAAUAUAUAAGAGAUCGUUGGGCCAUGCGGGUUCUCCGUAAUAAUUAUGGCCCAUCCCUUUAGCCAAUUUAGCUCUUAAUACAGGAUCAUUCAAGUCAGGUUUUUUUGUUAUUGGGAUAGGUGAAUUCUUAUAGAUCCAUCCCCCGAAGGAACCGGACAUGAUAAUUUUCCAUCAUCCGGCUCGAGCACGAAUCAAAAACGAAAAAUGUAUCCAUCUAAAAUGAAAAAUCUAUAUGUUAUUGAUAUCUAGAUAUAUAUGAAUGAUUCAUAUGUAAGAAUGGAACGGAUUCGAGUUUCCGGAGUUACAAUUAUUCAUUGCAAAUACUUCAGUUCUUAUAAUUAAAUGCUCAAUACCCAAGUAGGCUUACAUACAAAGUUGAUCAGGAUCAAGUGCUUUCUGGGUCGUCUCAGAUCUUUGCAAUUAAUUGGCGUUUAUCCCCAAAGUAUCUCGCGCCCUUUUUACAUACAAAGAAUUUACUUGUUACUAAUAGAGUCUAGCCCCUUUUCUCCGUUAGAUCCCUUGUUUCACUCCGAUAGUAUCAUAACUCGGGUCAAUGCAAAGGAAAUGGAUGCAUUUCCAUACUAUUAAAUAAGUAAAAUAGAUACACAAUUUGGCUCAGGCCACAUCACUUAUUCUACUGGAUCUCACGGAGCCUAUUCACACACGACACGAGUAGAUUUGAGUUUUUGAUCAUAGAUAAAAGAUUCUCUUCAAGCGAACCAGCCUAUCCUCUGUAUGGGGCUUACGCGGUGGUUAGAACAAAGACACAUUUUCUUCUGAAUUCUAAUGUGGCAGAUAACAUAUAUCUACAUGGCACAAUCAAUAGUUCAAGUCACACACUCCCAUAAUCCAUUUUAUCUUUAGAGAAUUCCCUUUAACCCCAAAAUAUUGGAUUAUUUAUUUGACACAAAUAGUUAAAGGGAAAUAUCCAAAUACAUGUCCUAUUCUUUUCAAUAAUCCAUAUGUGUAGCAAUGAAAUACUGUUGUUCUUCUACCAAGUGAUAUAAAAAGAUUUAUUUGAAAUAUCUAUGAUCUCUCUUCUCUAUAAAGGACCAGAAAUACCUUGUUUACGUAUCAUUGGGAAGUGCAUUAACAUAAAUACGGCAGUAAGAAGGGGUAAGACAAAAGUGUGUAAACUAUAAAACCGAGUCAAAGUGGAUUGGCCCACACUUGCACUUCCACGUAAUAACUCUACUAAAGGGGAUCCUAUUACAGGAAUAGCGUCAGGUACUCCUGUUACAAUUUUGACUGCCCAAUAACCUAUUUGGUCCCAAGGUAAGGAAUAACCAGUUACACCAAAAGAUGCAGUCAAUACAGCCAGAACCACACCUGUAACCCAAGUUAAUUCGCGGGGUCUUUUAAACCCACCGGUUAGAUAAACACGAAAUACGUGCAGGAUCAUCAUUAGGACCAUCAUACUUGCCGACCAUCGAUGAACCGAUCGGAUUAACCAACCAAAGUUAGCUUCAGUCAUUAUGUAUUGAACAGAAGAAAAAGCCUCAGUAACAGUUGGACGGUAGUAAAAAGUCAUAGCAAAUCCUGUAGCUACUUGUACUAAAAAACAAGUAAGCGUAAUUCCUCCUAGACAAUAAAAUAUGUUGACAUGAGGAGGAACAUAUUUACUAGUUAUAUCAUCUGCAAUCGCCUGAAUCUCGAGACGUUCUUCGAACCAAUCAUACACUUUAUUGAGAUAGGUAAACCAAGAGGACUCCCCCUCCGAGAACCGUAUAGGAGAAUUUCAUCUCAUACAGCUCAAGCACAAGCACACAAAGGUUGAUUGCAACGGGUCUGUAAUAGAAAGUUGGAAAUUUAUUCCUUUCUUUUUUGAUUCAAUCUUCUUUGACGAGACGAAAGAAUAAAAAAACCCGACAACUCUUCUUUAUGCUGAUAGUGCCAAAACAUCAAGUUGGCUCAUUUGUCUUUAUGGUGAUCGUUAAAGGCCUUUUGAAUCUUCUCGUGCCCUAUUUCUUUUUCUUUUAUUAUUAUUUCGAUUUGUAUCUAAUUCGGUUUUUUUUUUUUGAUAGGAAUUCUCUUGUUAAGACCCUAUGAAUUAAUUAAAACCUCAGAUUCAUACUACACCCCCCGAUGAUUAUGAUUCUCAAGAAAAACUUACAGUUUAGCCCAAAGCUUCUCUGAGUAAGAACCACGGGAUCAUCACUUAUUUAAUGAAUCGAUAAUUGAUAGCGAUAAUAUAAUAAUGACUUAAACUCCAAAGCAAAGAAACUUUUUUGUCCUGUGCUUAAAAUAAGCAUAAACAGGAGUUUAAAAGAAGAAAAAUCUUUUCAUUUCGAAUUUGUUAGCUUCUUUUUCUUUGAAAACGGUUUGGAGACCGGCCACGGGGUCGAACUAUUCAAUAUAAAUCAUAGUUCUACUAUUUCAUUCAUAAUUUAUUUCAUAUAUUUCGUGUUUCAAAUACUAGAAUAAAUAUUCGACGAGAUAAAAACCUAUCUUUAUCAAGAUGACAGAUGGGUUCUCUGUACUAGCACUAGGAUCAAUUCUAACAAGUCACACACUCAUAUUCCGGAAAUACAGAAACAAAAAAAUUCCGCGGUCGAACUACCAAAAUAAAAUGGGGUAGAAAUCUGAGCCCUAAAUUAGUCACUUUAUAUUGAAAAGCCGAGACUUAUAAUAAUUCUUGUGGAUCUAAUUCAUUGAAAUUCCGUCCAGUAAAACGGAAGAAUUAUAAAUCUCCAAAAUAAUAGAUAAGAAUAUUGUAAAAAGAGCCAUUGCAACACCCAUCAAAGGGGUAGUUCCCCAUCCAGGAGCUACUUUACCAUAUUCCGAAUUCAACGGUUUCAACAACCCCCCUAGACCUGUUUGUUUUGGACGUGCUUUUGAGCGUUCCUCAACGGUUUGUGUAGCCAUAAAUCUUAUUGUAAUAAUUGAGAUCUGUUGACUUUGUAUACUAUUCUGUUGUAAAUAAACAAUCUUAUCAUAGAUUCAUUGUGAUCUUGAAAUUCUAUAAUAAUGGAAACAGCAACCCUAGUCGCCAUCUCUGUAUCUGGUUUACUUGUAAGUUUUACUGGGUACGCCUUAUAUACCGCUUUUGGGCAACCCGCUCAACAACUACGAGAUCCAUUCGAGGAACACGGAGACUAAUCGAAUUGAAGUAAUGAGCCUCCCAAACUGUGGCGGCUCAUUACUUCAAUUGAGAUAAUGAAAAAUCAUUUCUUAGUUGGAACUUUCGGCGGUUCUCGAAAAAAGAUAGCGAAAAAGAUUAUCCCGAGAGUCGAGACUAAGAGGAAUGUAUAAACCAAUGCUUCCAUAGGUUCGAUCGUGGUUUACAAUUAUAACUUUCAUACCUGUUUAUUUUGAAUCAUCUCCCGGAUAAAGAAAAAACAAGAGUCAAAGAAAUGGCAGUGAUUCAAAUUAGGAUUUCUCUAAUACCUUAGGUAAAAAAAGUAACUAAAGAAGCAAAAGAUAUCCCCGCAAUGUUCUAUCAAACGGCUUGUUUUCUUGUAGUCGGAUCUCCUAGUUUUUGGAAUGCUCCAAAUUCGACUUGUGAAUCCAAAUCUGGGUCAAUACCUGCAAAAACAUCUCUAAACAGGGUUCUAGCACCAUGCCAAAUGUGUCCGAAAAAGAAGAGCAGAGCAAACGACGCAUGUCCAAAAGUAAACCAACCUCGUGGACUGCUACGAAAAACCCCAUCAGAUUUCAAAGUAGCACGAUCUAAUUCAAAAAUUUCACCCAAUUGAGCGCGUCUCGCAUAUUUUUUCACAGUAGCGGGAUCGCUGUAACUGACUCCGUUAAGUUCGCCGCCAUAGAACUCAACAGUUACACCUACUUGUUCAACACUAUACUUUGAUUCUGCCCUUCUAAAAGGAACGUCGGCUCUAACAAUUCCGUCUCCAUCUACCAAAACAACGGGAAAUGUUUCAAAAAAAGUAGGCAUACGACGUACAAAAAGUUCACGUCCUUCUUUAUCUCUAAAGAUGGGGUGGCCUAACCAUCCAACAGCUAUUCCAUCCCCACUGUCCAUCGAUCCGGCUCUGAAUAAUCCCCCUUUUGCCGGAUUAUUGCCGAUGUAAUCAUAAAAAGCUAAUUUUUCAGGAAUUUUAGACCAAGCUUCUGUUAAACUUUGAUUUUCGGCUAGCCCAGCACUGACUCUUCGAUAUAUUUCUUGCUGGAAGUAUCCCUGAUCCCAUUGAUAACGAGUAGGACCAAAUAAUUCGAUUGGGGUAGUUGCCGAACCAUACCACAUAGUUCCCGCAACAACAAAAGCAGCAAAAAAGACAGCAGCGAUACUACUGGAAAGGACAGUUUCAAUAUUACCCAUACGUAAUCCUUUGUAUAGACGUUGGGGCGGACGGACACUAAGAUGGAAUAGGCCCGCUAAUAUGCCCAAAGUGCCUGCUGCAAUAUGAUGAGAGGCUAUUCCUCCCGGAACGAAAGGAUCAAAACCUUCCACGCCCCAUGCUGGGUUUACCGAUUGUACUUUUCCAGUUAAUCCAUAAGGAUCGGACACCCAUAUUCCAGGACCAUACAAACCUGUUACAUGAAAUACGCCAAAACCAAAGCAUGCCACCCCUGAAAGAAAUAAAUGAAUUCCAAAGAUCUUGGGCAAAUCCAAAGAAGGUUUUCCGGUACGUUCAUCAGAAAAUAUUUCGAGAUCCCAAUAUACCCAAUGCCAAAUAGCUGCUAAGAAGCACAACCCUGAAAACCCAAUAUGUGCCCCGGCCACUCCUUCGUAACUCCAAAUACCUGGAUUUGUUACAGUUCCUCCUGUAAUACUCCACCCGCCCCAUGAAUUAGUUAUUCCUAAACGCGUCAUGAAAGGUAUAACAAACAUACCUUGUCUCCACAUUGGAUCAAGAACGGGGUCAGAAGGAUCAAAAACUGCUAAUUCAUAUAACGCCAUUGAACCGGCCCAACCAGCAACCAGAGCCGUAUGCAUUAUAUGGACAGCAAGCAACCGACCAGGAUCAUUCAAUACGACGGUAUGAACACGAUACCAAGGCAAACCCAUGGAAAUACCCCUUUAUGAAAGAAAAAUAGACACUAUGUAACUUUAUUGCAUUGGAAAAAUGAUGAUAGGGGCCUCCCCUUUCAGUGAAUUAUCGUGAAGUAAGUAUUACUAUUUGUUCUAUUUUAUUGGUAAUAAUGGAACAAUUCUGUUUAUUAGGAACAAAGAGAAGCAGAUCUAUUCUAUACCCGAUAAGUAUCAAUACGCAAUGGGUGGUUGAACCAUUUUGUAUGAGCAAAUGGAUCCCUACUUGUUCAUCAUUCGAAGGGUAUAUUUAGAAUAAUUUGUCGUUAGUCAUUCUGACUUCCUUUAUCAAAGAGCUUCUCCAAUCUAUAGAUAAAAAAUGAUAUGCUAAAGACCAAUAUUCUGAGGACAAUAAACUAAACCCACUAUUACGUUUUCACAUCAAAGUAAAAUAGAUUACUUCAUUUUUUUCAUUUAAUGCCUAUUGGUGUUCCAAAAGUACCUUUUCGAAGUCCUGGAGAGGAAGAUGCAUCUUGGGUUGACAUAUAGUGCGACUUGUCAGAUAUAUUGGGUCAUGUGGGAUUUCCCCAUUCUCUCCCCCGAUCGAGAUAUCCUCUGAUUCGCCCAAGAAAGAUUAUCAAAAAAUUGGAGCGUGAAGUGAAAUUAGAUCCAUUUUAGGGGAAUCCAGAUUAAUAUUAUCAAUUAGAAUAAUUUAUGGUUGACUUGGUUAGACCAAUCAAAUUAUCCAGGCUCCGUUUAGAACAAACCCAACUUAGUAAUAUACCAACGAUUGCUGUGUCUAUUUCUAAUUCUAAAUUUUGUAUUACCAUAUUUUGUAUUACCAUAUUAUAUAUUUGACUAGGUUAUUAAUUGAUACCUCAUUAGAAAUUAUCUUUUUUCCUAUACUAAAAAAUAGGAAUGAUCCCUAUUAAUUAAUUGAGUAAAACAAGAUGAAUGCGUCGAAAAUUUGGCCGAAGACAUGAAAUGGAUUCAACAAAAAUUUGUAGCAAAAAGAAAUGGUAGUAGGUACAUUUGUCCUAUAUGUGCAAAUAACAAUCGGGCCUAUCUUUACCUGGAGCAGAGCAUAAACCUAAAAGAAUUCAAGAGGCCCAUUCAGGAACAAGAAAAUGACAUCGUGAUUGAGGGUGUAUCUCGAUGAAAGAAUACAUCAAUUGAGAAGUUAAUUCAACGGGUUUAAUGAAAUUUUUUUAUAUUAUAUAUUAGAAUAUUAGAAUGAAAUUCUAGUGAAAGGGUUCCAAACUUUUCUUUCUUACAAUAAAAAAUAGAAGAAAAGCUCUUUCGUUAGAAAAAUUUUGCUUUUAAAAAAAGAGCAGGAGCCAAAAUCUAUAAUUGAGUCUUUUUUUCACGAUUCUUUUGACCCGUAUGCAUUAAAAGGUGCAUGUACGGUUCCUAAGGGAUACAAUUUUCUCCUAAUCAACCGACUUUAUCGAGAAAGAUUGCUUUUUUUAGGCCAAGAGGUUGAUAAUGAGCUCGCGAAUCAAAUUAUUGGUCUUUUGGUAUAUCUCACUAUAGAGGAUCGUAACAGAGAGCUUUAUGUGUUUAUAAACUCUCCCGGUGGAUGGGUAAUACCCGGAAUAGCUGUUUAUGAUACCAUGCAAUUUGUGCCACCAGAUGUACAUACAAUAUGCAUGGGAUUAGCCGCUUCAAUGGGAUCCUUUGUCCUGGUCGGGGGAGCAAUUACCAAACGUCUAGCAUUCCCUCACGCUUGGCGCCAAUGAGUUUUUUAUUUGAGAUAAAAAAAGAAGUCUAUGCCUUCGCCAUAUGAAAUAAGAAUCUUGAGUAAUAAUAGCAUGGCACUUCGAAUUCGAUAUGAUAAAAUUUGUUUCUCAAAACAUUCAAUUAUGUAUCGAAAGGGCAGUAUGAAAUACUAAGUAUUUCCGAUUUGAUCUAUCGGAAUCUCAGUGUCACAAACUUUUUUUACACCGAUAAAGCUCUGAAUAAUUCUGAAUAAUAUUUAUAUUUAUGUUAUGAAACAGUUUUCCGUAUUUUAUUUGAUCGGCUCAAAAAGAAACUUUGGGAUUGCUGAAUUACAGACAUAAUAAAUAUAUAAAGCAACGGAACCAUCAUAGUAUUUUGAACUCCUCCAAAAAGAAGGGUGGUAAUUGGACCUUUUUUCGAUCUGGUAUGAGAAAUCCUAUUUUAGCUUCGACAGGAAAUUCCAUUCGUGAGCCGUAUGCAAUACGCAAAAGAUGCCUGUACGGUUCUAUUUUUUCUUGUUAGUCUCUUUCUCUUUACCCCAUUCUGCGAAACCCUUUUGUAUGUUAUAUCAUCAGGGUAAUGAUCCAUCAACCUGCAAGUUCUUUUUAUGAGUCCCAAACGGGAGAAUUUAUCCUGGAAGCGGAAGAACUACUGAACCUGCGCGAAACCAUCACAAUGGUUUAUGUCCAAAGAACAGGUAAAUCUUUUUGGGUUGUAUCCGAAGACAUGGAACGAGAUGUUUUUAUGUCAGCAACAGAAGCCCAAGCUCACGGAAUUGUGGAUCUUGUAGCAGUUGGAUGAAAAUAUCAAAGAUUUCGCAUAAAUCCGUGAUUUGAUCGAGGGUGUUAUUUAUCGUCUUACCCGGUUUAAUCUUCUUUUAAUAUUCUAUUAUAUUAAAUAGAAAGAAUUCAUAAGCAUCCGGUUAGGAGCGAUCUAAACCAGCUUAGUCUGUAUACAAUUCAGCAUGCCAACUAUUAAACAACUUAUUAGAAACACAAGACAGCCAAUACGAAAUGUCACGAAAUCCCCCGCCCUUAGGGGAUGUCCUCAGCGCCGAGGAACAUGUACUAGGGUGUAUGUGCGACUCGUUCAGAUCAUGUCAUGGGCUGGAACAAAAGAAAGGAACGUAUGAUGAUCAGUACCAAUAAAUAAAUAGAAUAAAACGAUAUUUUUCAAUUCAAUGGCGAAAAAAAAUCUAUUCUAUCCCCCUAUUGCGUAUGAAAUUUAUGGUUUCCGUUGGUGCAAAUUCAAUAAGCUGAGAAGCAAUUCCCCAUUGGUAACAAAUGGUUAUUCAUUACGCGGGGGAAACCCUAUUUAUUAUUUAAGAAGAAUAAAUUAUAGACUUCCAAGAACGGCCUAACAGGAUCAGCUACCUAGCUAACUUUCAGAAUUAAAUACCGUUACUGUAUAGGUAGAUCUCAUUGUGAAAGACCUAUUACUGGAUAAUUCAUGGGUAGAGCCACACAAUGGUGUGAACUGUACAAGUUACCAAAAAAAGUACGAUUCAUUAAAUGAAGGAAAAGGCUCCGGUGUAUAGAGAGGACCUCACCGUUUAAGAAGUAACCAUAGAAACGAUGGAACCACUCUAUUCUUUUUAUAUUUACUUUAUAUAUCUCUAUUUGACUAUGUUAUGGAUACUAGAUAUCAAUGAAUUUCUUAUUUUUAGACAGUUCACUUCGAAAUAAGAAAAAAUUGUGGUUGGGAAGGUUAUAGUAGCAAAAGUCAUUGGAAUUUUGAUUUUAUAUAUCCGAAGAAUCCGUUUUGUUAUAACUAAAUCAGUAAGGGGAAAAAGAAUAACUGAGAGCCAGCAACUCAAUUAGUUAUUCAUCAAAGUUUCAUUUAUUCAAUGACUAGAAUUAGACGAGGAUAUAUAGCUCGGAGACGUAGAAACAAAAUUCGUUUAUUUGCAUCAAGUUUUCGAGGGGCUCAUUCAAGACUUACUCGAACUAUUACUCAACAGAAAAUACGAGCUUUAAUUUCGGCUCAUCGUGAUCGAGAUAAGAAAAAGAGAGAUUUUCGUCGGUUAUGGAUUACUCGGAUAAAUGCAGUAAUUCGCAAGAAAGGAGUAUCCUGUAGUUAUAGUAGACUAAUAAAUGAUCUGUACAAAAGUCAAUUGCUUCUAAAUCGUAAAAUACUUGCACAAAUAGCUAUAUUAAAUAAGAAUUGUCUUUAUAUGAUUUCCAAUGAAAUAUUGGAUCCAUUGGAGUAAUUUGACUGGAAUUCCCCGGAGAAUCAAUUUGACUGGAAUUCCCCGGAGAAUCAACUCCGGGAAGAUAGAGUAUAAAAUAGGAUAAGAUUAAGACAAAGUUGUCAAAAUGAACAAAAGAAUUCAAUAAAAAAUGAUUUUUUCUUUCCCGCGGCUUUUUUUCUUAUGACACACGAAUCAAAUCUGUAUUAUCCUAUGUUUCGAACACAACACCAAUCAAGUUUUAGCUCGAAUUGGAAUUUUGCUUCGAUUGAAAAGUAAGCUAAACCUAUUUAUUUCUAGUCCUAAGACCUAUUGUUUGAGCAGUCGACUCGGUUCUUUCAAACUGUUUCUCGUUAUUAAGAAAAGGUAACAAAGAUAAAAUACGAGCUUGUUUUAUAGCAAUAGUAAUUAAUCGUUGUUGCUUCAAGGUCAAUUUAUUUACGCGUCUUGACAAUAUUUUUCCUUGUUCACUAAUAAAUCGACUAAUUAAACUCAUGUUUCUAUAGUCAAUUCGAUCCCCCGAUUGGAUCGGGGGCAAACGCCUACGAAAAGCUCGCUUCGAUUUAAGAAAGGGUCGCUUGGAUUUAUCCAUGGUUUGUUUAUUCCUUUUCCCGAAAUCCUAUUUCGGUCGGAUUUAAAAUAAAUUCGAAUUAAAAAUAUAGGAUUUGGUUUGUUUAUAUAUGGGUUUAUUUAGAUUAGAAUCUAUAUUUAGAUAUUAUAAUAUGUCAUUUUGACUUAUUAUAAUAUGUCAUUUUGACUGUUCCUUUUAUUUUUUUAUCUCCCCAUGAGUCGUAUGUUUGGAACAACAGGGGCAGAAUUUUCUCAAUUCCAAUCGACUAGGUGUAUUAUGUCGAUUCUUUUGUGUAAUAUAUCUGGAAAUACCCCUUGAGUCUUUAUUAACACUGUUUCGAACACAACUGAUACAUUCCAAAAUAAUCGUUACCCGUACAUCUUUACUCUUGGCCAUGAAACUCCUUUGGAUUUUUGAUUCACUCAACUCUUCUAUAUUUUUUAGCUAAACAAAAAAAGAAAAAAUUAGAACGAAACCAAAUUAGAAAAGAUUUCGUUGAAAUCAAUAGAUAGUAAUUAAUAAGUAAUACAAUUAACUAUAUUUAUAAUCUAAUUGUAUUAGAUUUUGUUAAGGAUCUUGUAUGAUACUCUUGCCCUAGACCGGCAUUUCCUUUUCCUUUUUCACUCUAGUAAUUUGAUUCAAUUACCCUAUUUUAGUUGCGAUUGAAUCAACGUUUAUUCUUUCUCUUUCAUCCCUUCUUGGAAUUCUAAAAAGGGAAAAAAGAGAAAAAGGGGGUGAGAUGUAGUUUCGGAUAUAGAAUUGUAUCGCUAAUCUUAUUCAAACCCUUCCACGGCAAUAACUAGAAUUAAAAAAAAGGAAAUGUCAGCGCAUCUGGGAAUAAACGAUUGAUCUCUAUCAAUAGACCUGCUAAAGAUCCGAACCAUAUAGUACUUAGUACUGGUGCCACAGAUAAAUAUGUUUUUAGAUCUCGCAUUGAAAAUCCUCCUUCUUUCUUCUUUAUUGUAUUGUAAUACAUAAGGCUAAUACAUAUAUGAUCAGAUAUCUAGAUAGUUGCAGUUAAGGAUUAAGGACCACUUGUAUUUGUACGCAGAAUCUCUAAAUGGAUAACAAUUCCGUAGAAAAUAUUUGCCCUUUAAUUCCGUAGAAAAUAUUUGCCCUUUCUUAAAAAAAAAAGCCCCUUUCUUGAGCAUUUCAAAAAACAAUGCAUUUUCCUUUUUUAUUAUAUGUGGUAUAGUGGUAUAUGCUAGGAGACCAAAAAGAAGAAAGGGCAAGAUAAAUGAAUAUAUCAAUGAAAAAAAUGAUAUGGAAAACAGGGCAGGAAUUCUCUACAAUGACACUGUAGACCAAUUGAAAGGGAUGUAGCGCAGCUUGGUAGCGCGUUUGUUUUGGGUACAAAAUGUCACAGGUUCAAAUCCUGUCAUCCCUACCUAUGACUUCUCCUCUGAGCAGUACCAAGGGAUCAAUUGAGACCGAUUAAGAUUAAAUUGGACAUACAUAAUCUUUCAUUUUAUCAUACUAUAAAAAUGAAAGAUUAUGUAUGUAAGAUGUAUUAGGGUUAAAAAAAAAAAAAAAAGAAACCUUAUUAUGAUAAGAAAGCGCUCUUAGUUCAGUUCGGUAGAACGUGGGUCUCCAAAACCCAAUGUCGUAGGUUCAAGUCCUACAGAGCGUGAUUCCGUUUUUGUUAGGUUAAAUUAAUUACGCUGAAAAGGCUUCCCUAACGCAAGCAGCUAUCUCAAUUUGAUAUUCUGUGGAUUAAAGAAAAGGGGUGAGUCAAGAGACCAGAGAUAUUAAUUAAUCAAAAGUCCAACUGAUCACCACGUUUGUAUUGUAAAAAUGCAGUUACGAAUAAUCCAGCUAAGGUAAUAGGAAUUAAACCCAAGACAAUUCCAAAAAGAGAAACUUCAAUCAUUUUUUUUUAUUUGAUUUGAAAGGGAAAAAGAGAGGUAAUAUCUAUCUCUAAAUAUUAAUCGGAAUUACCCGUGAAUCUCAAUGACUAAAUAAUCCGCAAUUGAUAUGUUAAGAAACUAUAUAAUACAUGGAAUCCUACCGAAAGAGUUCCCUUUUUAAUUAGGCAGUCAAUUAAUUUCAAAUAAGUCGUAUCUUGCUCAGCCCAAUAAAAAGGCCUGAAGUUAUAGUUAAAGCUGCUAGUAAAAAACCGAAAUAACCCGUUAUAGUAAGCAUAAAAGAGCUUAAUUAAAUUAAAUGUAUUUUUUAUACAUAUGUAUAGAAAGCAUUUACCUAAAUUUACCGUUUUGAUUGAUAGUUUUUGAGUCAAAAAUCAUUAACACUGCCGAGGAUAGAGUGAGAGCGAUAGAAUAAGAAAUUGAUUGUGACAUCUACGCAUGCUCAUUCCACGAUUUCGAUUCAAGAGAUUCAUUGGGCAACUCAUGAGUAAACAAAUUCUAAAUUAAGAAGAACCGUGCCAUGUAACUUCAUUCAAAAAAGAAACACUUUUUGCUUUUGAAUAAUUAUUAAAUCAAACUGGAAACGGGUUUUUAUUAAGAUAACACUCUUUUUUUACUCAUUAGAUUCAAUAAUGUGCCGAUCCAGAUAAUAUCUUCAAUGCGAAAAAGUAUUGCAUAAUCGGAUUAUUUCUAAUUGCAUUGUGGGAAUAUAAGUGGGAAUAUAAAAAUCUCCUUCAUAAAUUAUGCGCAAUUCACUCGUCGAAUUUACAUACCCUUGACUUGUAGUUGUCGUUCGAAGUCAAUAAUGGAAAGAACUCAUAUACUCGAGGAAGGAGUUUUCUAUUGACUAGUGUCUGAUUCUACAUCAACAAGCAACAAAAAAGGAAGAAAAAAAUGAUAUAGCACUUUAUUUUGAUACUGAUUGAAAACGCAUUGCUGUGUCAGAAGAAGGAUAGCUAUACUGAUUCGGUAUACUCUAAAAGCACCCUCGGUACAAUAUUGACGAUCUAACAAAGAUUCAGUUUCAGUGAAUUGCCGUUUACUGAUCUCAUCUUUUACGGAAUCGAUCCUUUUUGACUGUACAAACAAGAAUAUGUGGAGCUCGCCAUGUCUGGAAGCACAGGAGAACGUUCUUUUGCUGAUAUUAUUACCAGUAUUCGCUACUGGGUCAUUCAUAGCAUUACUAUACCCUCCCUAUUCAUUGCGGGUUGGUUAUUCGUUAGUACGGGUUUAGCUUAUGAUGUCUUUGGAAGUCCUCGACCAAACGAAUAUUUUACAGAGAGUCGACAAGGAAUUCCUUUAAUAACUGGCCGUUUUGAUCCUUUGGAACAACUUGAUGAAUUUAGUAGAUCCUUUUAGGAGGCCCCAAUGACCAUAGAUCGAACCUAUCCAAUUUUUACAGUGCGAUGGUUGGCUAUUCACGGAUUAGCUGUACCUACCGUUUCUUUUUUGGGUUCAAUAUCAGCAAUGCAGUUCAUCCAACGAUAAAUCUAAUCCAAAUUAUAGAGCUACGACACAAUCAAAUCCAAACGAACAAAAUGUUGAAUUGAAUCGUACCAGUCUUUACUGGGGGUUAUUACUCAUUUUUGUACUUGCUGUUUUAUUUUCCAAUUAUUUCUUCAAUUAAGAGAACGAACGAGAAUACUAACUAAUAGUAGGACUUCUCUUAUAUUAUUCGGAAGGAUCUCAUUUCAUAAUUAUCCAUGACUGUUUAUGUCUCGAGCAUGACCACUUGAUAAAAUGGGGAGGGAAGUGGGGUAAAUGGCCGAUACUACUGGAAGGAUUCCUCUUUGGAUAAUAGGUACGGUAACUGGUAUUGCUGUGAUCGGUUUACUAGGUAUUUUCUUUUAUGGUUCCUAUUCAGGAUUGGGUUCAUCCUUGUAGUAAUCGGAUGAACUGAACUAUAGAUAUGAAAACAUGUAAGAACUAAAGGGCACCUUCCCCCUCGAAUCAGAAAAAAGAGGGGGAAGGUGCCCUAUAUUUUAUUGAUUUGAUAUAGAUGACAAAACGGGUCACCUUUCCUUUUUGAGGUUUCAUAAAAUAUUUAUUUUUCCGUAGAUCAGAUAUUAUGCAAACCCUGAGUUUAUAUAUUCAAAUUCAAAAACCCCACUUUACUUAUUUUAGGAUCCUACAUAAAUUGAUUUUUGAAUUCAUUGAAAAAAAUCAAUUUAUUUUAAAAAUUGUCUUUUUUUGCUUGUCCACUAUUUUUUGUGCACAAACAAAUAUUAUGAUAAACUUCUAAAAAAAUCGAAACUAACCAUAAUAAUCUUUGAGGAACAGAAUCAAGAAUAAUUAUUAUUUCGACACAAGAAAGGGACGUAUAAAAUUCUUUUCUUGUGUCGAAGACUAGGAAAACGACUAAUCCGUCCUAACAAAAUGUGUUCCCCUCAUUUAUUCUUUCUUUUCUAUUUUCCGCUUAUUUUUAUGUUUAGUAUCUAGUCAAUUUUUUCUAUUUGAAUAGAAAAUCGUUGAUGCAUUAUAUUACAUUUUAAUAUGACUGAUCAUACCACUACAAUUUGAAAACAAAGUCAAGGAUAAAUUGCAAAACUCAAGGAUAAAUUGCAAAACUUUUAUUUACAAUAUACAUACUAUCACCAGUGCUGUGUACAAGUAAUUACUGAAAGCUAGUAUAAAACAGAAUAGAAACAAGUAAACAAAAGACUUUGCAGUCUUUUUUCUUUUAUAUAUAUGUAUAUAUGACCUAAUUUUCAAAAAGAAAUUUGUCCUUUUUCAACGAGCUUGAUGUUGAUAAAUUCACAGACCUAGAAAUUCAUUUCGGACAAUUGAACUUUCUCAAACUGUUUCUUUUUAAGAACCAAAAAGAUUUGUGCCAAAAUCACAGAUGCCAAGAAGAACAAAAGACCUUGAACACGUAAUGGAUCUUGAAGUACUAUUUCUGCAUCUCCCUGACCAAAUCCACCCACAUUCGGAUUACUUGUUAAUGGUUGAUCAAGUUUGAUAGAUUCACCUUCUGAAACAAGAAGCUCUGGUCCUGGAGGAAUAAUAUCAACCACUUGACGCCCGUCUGAUGGAUCCCCGAUAGUUAUUUCAUAUCCACCCUUUUCCUUUCGUAUAAUUUUAGUUACUAUACCUGCUGCUGUAGCAUUAUAAACCGUAUUAUUACUCUUGCUCCCGUCUGGAUAAAUCUGCCCCCGUCCUCUGUUUCCACCUACAUAUAUGGGAUAUUUUAAGAAGUGGGCAUCUUUUUUAGUUGUAGGGUCGGGAGAAAGAAUAGGAAAGGUAAUUUCACUAUAUUUCUGACCCGGAACAGGACCUAUCACAAGAAUAUUUUUUUUAGUAGGGCGAUAACUCUGAAAAGAAAGAUUUCCUAUCUUUUCUUUCAGCUCCGGCGAAAUACGAUCCGGGGGGGCUAAUUCAAACCCUUCAGGUAAAAUCAGAACAGCCCCUACAUUCAAACCACCCUUUUUCCCAUUAGCAAGAACUUGUUUCACUUGGAUAUCAUAAGGAAUUCGAACAACUGCCUCAAAUACAGUAUCAGGAAGUACCGCUUGUGGAACCUCAAUAUCCACGGGCUUAUUAGCUAAAUGGCAAUUGGCACAUACAAUCCGCCCAGUUGCUUCUCGUGGAUUUUCAUAACCCUGUUGUGCAAAAAUGGGAUAUGCAUUUGAAAUGUAUGUCCGAGUUAUUAUGUAUAUCACGAGGGAUAAGGAAAUAGAUCCAGUAAUCCGUUCCUUUAUCCAAGAAAGGGUAGUUCUAGUUUGCAUGGUCCAAUCAUUGAUCCCGAAAAUUUCUACAAUAAAUUAGGUAGGUCGCUAGUAUAGUUCCCUAUCCACGAUUCUGCUCUUUACUAAACUCAUUUAACUGCAAUAUUAGGAAAAUCCCCCCAGAUUGAUAGAACUAGUAAGUAUUAUUUUGAAUGUGCUUUUCCGAUGUUAGACAGUAACAAAUAGUAGAAUUGGAUUAAGAUUACAGUGGACCAUUUUUCAAUCAUUCAUCGAAUGAUAAAUCACUACAAGUGACGGAGAUAUACGAUUUAAAUACCGGAAAAUCCAAUAUUUGAAAAUUGUAUCUAUAAUGACUGGAAAAGUGGAAACAAGACCCGAUAUAAUUUUAUCAUUAUAAGCAAACCCAAAAUCUUUGUACACAAAGCUAAGCAGAAGUUCCCAACCGUGGGGUGAAUGGAAUCCGAUACAUAAAUCGGUUAAUAAAAGAAUAGAAAAAGCUUUGAUUGUAUCACUUAAGUUAUAUAAGAAUUCUUGAACCCAAGAGUUAAAAAGAAUAAGUUCUUUAUUACCCAGAAGAGAAUAACCACUUAGAAUAACAAAAUAGGUUAGAUUUGUCGAGAAGUGUAAAAUCGUAUGAAUACUAUUCUCAUUAUGCAUCUUGAUCAAUUGGAUUGUUUCUUUUUGUAUCCCUAUAUUCCAUUUUUGAGGAUGUGUCUCCGAAAAUUCCUUUAUCAUUUCUUCCAACAAGAAAAGUUCCUUUAAUUCUAUGAAUUUUUCUAGAAGACUCUUUUCUUGAAUAUGAUUCAAAAAAAUUUCAUAUUUCCUAGUAUUCCACCAAUUUGUAAUCCAAGAUUCCAUACUUUUUUGAAAUAAAAGAGAGAUCAACCAGGGUAAAAAUACUAUAGAUGCAAGAUAUAUAAGGGGAGUCAAUUCUUUUUUUUUUGACAUUUUUUUUCAUCUUUGAAUUAUUAAUGAACCCACCCUAUUCAUCGAUUCUAUGUGAUCUACUCUUUCGAUCAAGCGUGAGUUCUAUUACAAGAUAUGAACCCCCCCUUUUUUUGUGAUUCAGUGUUUAGCCCCUGAUCCUACAAAGAAUACAUAAAUAGAAUAAGACCAUUUCGAAAAAGGAAUACUCAUUUUUUUUUUUCAGAUACCUAAAAUUAGUUAACUUUGAAAUUGUUUUUAACGAAAGAUAUUAUAUUACGCAUCAAAUUUUUUUGCGGACAAAGCCGUUUUGGUUUAGAGCUGUUCUAUAUAAUAUAUGUCUGAUCCGGUUUGGCUACAAUGAGUCCUCUUAUAUUAUAAAAAAAGAGGAUUCCCAAGCCUUUUCCUUUUGAUGAGAAAACAUUUAGUUAGUUUCUUUUUCAAAAGAUUUCAAUCGGUACGCGCAAGAAAUAGGCUAAUUCCGCAGCUUUUUGUUCAAUUUCGCGUGGAGUCAAAUUCUCAUCAGUACGAGUCAAGGGAAUGUCCCCCUGGCCGCGGAUUUCCAUAUAAAGAACACGGCGGGCAUAAAUACCCUCUUUAACUUCUAUUCUUAUGGACUGAAUAUCUUUCAUAAGGAAUCGGAGGAAAAUGCGACGAUUCUUUCCAGGAAAUCCCCAACGAAAAAUACACACUAUUCCCCCCUUUCUAUCGAAUCGAUCAUAACCACUACCCACAUUCCACGCAAUUGUGCACCACAAAUAGGAACUAAUAAAGAGACCCGCGAUACCAUAGAAAGACAUCACGAUCCCUUGGGGAAAAAAAGAGAUUUGAUGAUAUGGAAAUAAAGAUAUCAAAUUCCUACCAAGAUAACUGGAAGUUCCAACCAAUAAAAAUCCUACUGAACCUAAAAAAAGGAUACAGGCCCAACCGAAAUUACUUAUUUUUCGAGACCCUGUUAUAAGUUCUAUCCAUAGCUGUUCUGAUCGCCAACUCAUACUAGAUCCAGUUGUAUUUUAUUGGAAGUGAAAGAAUAAACAAAAUAAAUUUGACUUUACUCUUUUUUUUGUUUCCGAAGGAACUCUCAUCAACUAGGCUUAUUCUAAUGUGAAUCUUUAGGAGUCUUCGGAGGAAGCCACACCUUAGAUCAUAUUUUAGAUCAUACAAACUUUUUUUGUUUCCGAAGGAACUCUCAUCAACUAGGCUUAUUCUAAUGUGAAUCUUUAGGAGUCUUCGGAGGAAGCCACACCUUAGAUCAUAUUUUAGAUCAUAUUAUACUAAAUAGAUAUCUGUGAUAUGAUCUAAAUCUAAGUCUUGAAAAAAAAAAUCAAUGAGAUUUCAUCCCAUCGGAUCUAAAAAAUCUUGUUUUUUUGAAUAUGAAGAAAUAAAGAAGCCAUUGCCAUUGCCGGAAAAACUAGGCCCACUAAGGGCACAAAAAUAGAGGGUAAGUUGAGAGUUGUCAUAGACUGGAUACCUCGAUUUAAGAUUUGUACUUGUUAUAAUUGUUAUAUAAGGUAUUUUAGAAUAAAAUAAUUCUAUUUGGAAUAAAUUAGACUCUAAUAUAAGUGAAUAUAUAUAUAUAAUAAUUGAGUAUAGAAUAAGUGCAAAGAGGAUAGAACUAACUAAAUGGGCUUCGUUUUUUUUAGCUUUCUACAUAAACUAUAUGAUAUGAAUGAUCUUAUUAGUAGAGUGCUACUUUUGCCUUCGGAAAGGCAAAAGUAGCACUCUUGUCUUGUUUGUUGAUAAAGACUGGCUUUCUGAUUACUAAUCAUUAAUAUGACUAAAAAGGGAUAUCGCAAAAAAAUCACGAAACUUUUGAUUCUCUCUUGAUUCGCUCUACAAUUGGGUCUUAUGUCACCAAAGAAAAUUCAACUUUUCGUAUUUUGAUUUUAAUUCCAUAAUUCCAAUAAACUAACUACUUGUUCGUUACCAAUAAACUAAUUGAACCUAACAUUCCACUUGUUGAUUUUUUUUCAAGGGAAAGAAAGCAUGGAGUUGAAAUAACUCACUCAGAACACCUUUUAAAGGAUUACGUGGUACGAUUUGGUCGAAUAAACCCUUUUGGAAUAAAUAUUCAGCCGCUUGUGAACCUUCCGGUACUGUCUUAUUCAAUGUUUGUUCAAUUACUCGUUUCCCCGCAAAUGCAAUGUAGGCAUUGGGUUCAGCAAUAAUGAUAUCCCCCAACAUACCAAAACUCGCUGUCACCCCACCAGUAGUGGGAGAUGUAAGGAUUGAUACAUAGAAUAACUUUUUAUUUAAUUGAUAAUCAUAUAAAGCAGAAGAUAUUUUAGCCAUUUGCAUUAAGCUCAAACUUCCUUCUUGCAUCCGUGCUCCUCCGGAAGCACACACUAGAAUAAGAGGGAGAAAGCUCUUGGUAGCAUACUCGAUCAAACGAGUGAUUUUCUCGCCGACUGCAGAUCCCAUACUACCCCCCAUAAACUGAAAAUCCAUAACCCCGAUUGCUAUCGGAAUACCAUUUAGUUGACCUGUGCCUGUUUGAAUAGCUUCAGUUAAUCCUGUUGUUGUUUGAUAAGAAUCAAUACGAUCUUUAUAGGGUUCCUCUUCCGAAUGAAAUUCAAUGGGAUCCAGAGAGACCAUGUCUUCAUCCAGCGGAUCCCACGUACCUCUAUCAAUCAAAAGUUCGAUUCGAUCGGAACUACUCAUUUUCAAAUGAUAUCCGCAUUGUUCACAAAUAUUCAUUUUUGACUUAAAAAAUUUCUUAUAAUUUAAUCCAUAACAGUUUUCGCAUUGAACCCACAAAUGUCUGUAUUUUUGAGUUACAUCGAGAUCAUUAGAGCUUUUAGUUAAAUCACUAUCAUUCGUGCUA
rnacentral:rRNA from 1 species